GCGGUGGGAUUCUAGCGGCGGCGCCAGCCUCAAGAGCUGGCGGGGCAACCCAUCCCGGUUCGAGCCCGGUCGUUCGCA
rnacentral:tRNA from 1 species